rnacentral:lncRNA from 10 species
UAUCAAGAUAAAAAUGCUAACGUAUUUAAAAUUACUUUGAGAAAUCUUAAAUGACAUUUGUUUAUAUGCAUUUUUAUAAAGCUCUUCAGAUUAGUUAUUUUACAAACCUCUUCAUUUACUAUUCUCUACACACAUCAUACAAGUUGAUACAAGAUUAAGCACAGUACAAAAUGAAAAAGGAGACGUUACAACUGAAACCACAGAAAGACGAAACAUCUUUGGAGGCUAGUAUGAAUAUCUCUACGCUCACAAACUAGAAAACCUGCAAGAAAUGGAUAAAUUUCUAGAAGUAUAGAACCUCCCAGGAUGAACCAGGAAGAAAUAGAAAUCCUGAACAGAUCAAUAAUGAGUAGUGAAAUUGAAUCAGUUAAUUAAAAACUUCCCAGCCAAAAACAAUAAAAACAGCCCAGUACCAGAUGGAUUCACAAUCAAAUUCUACCAGUAGUACAAGGAACUAAUACCAAUUCUUUGAACUGUUCAAAAACAUUGAGGAGGGAAUCCUCCCUAACUCAUUCCAUGAAGCCAUUUUCUCAAACAUAUAAUGUGUAUCUAUUAUAUACUUUUGUGUUAUGGCAAUAAAAAUUAAAAUGGUUAUGAUAAGAACAUUUAGUACACCUUUCUCAAACACUACCAUAUUUCAUAAUUGAAUUUUCUGUUGCUCUCAUCAUCCGGAGAUGAAUCAAAUGUAGAUGGAACAAAAGCUGAAUUGGUUUUAAGAGGUAAGGAACGCUCAUGGUUAAUUAGACCAUUGGUAAAAGUGCUUUUUUGUCCAGUGCCUUGGCAAUAAAAGAACCAAAACCAAAAAAAAUCUUUGACAGGCACUAGGUCUUCUUUACUUCAGGUUAUUAAAAUAUACCAUUGUUUAGAAAAUGCCUGAAUUAAACCG